AAUAGUUGAAACAACAAAAAUACCUUUGUUAUUCUUUUUCUUCCCUGAAGUAGUUUUCACUGUUACAGCUUCAGACGAUUUUGUAAUCUCGUUCAUAGUUGAACUUCCUCUCUGUUUGGCUGGUUGGAAAAAAAAAGAUUUUUUAAAAAGCAGCCUGUUUAAAGUCAAAUGAAUGGGUUUCUGACACACCUUGAUGCUGGUUGUGGCCUUUAUUUUAUGUUCACUUUACCCAGAGAUAUUUCUCACCAGAGAGAAUGAUCUGACCUCUUGUCAAGAUCACAUUCACUUCAGUUCAGUCCCGUGGUUUUGUCUUUUUUGAGAUGAAGUCUCACUCAUCGCCCAGGCUGGAGUGCAAUGGUGCCAUCUCUGCUCACUGCAACCUCUGCCUUCCGGUUUCAAGUGAUCUUCCCACCUCAGCCUCCCGAGUAGCUGGGAUUACAGGCACAUCAGCUGUCUUUUCCUGCUUGGAGAAAGCCUGGCUGCAGCCGGAGGAAGGAAGGCCAACCCUUGGAAGGGAAGUAGAGUCAAGAGCAGCAAAUUCUGAGUCUCCUAGUGAGGUGGUUUGAGCCCCUGAAUUCGGUCAUCUCUGAAGACAGCUGUACCCAUGGAUGUCCCAGUUAUGUGAGCCAAUAAACCCAUGCUCGUCUUUAA